rnacentral:rRNA from 1 species
UCAUGGGACGAUUCAGCCAUGCUAGUCGCACGAGUUCAGACUCGUGGCGAAUAGCUCAGUAACACGUGGCCAAACUACCCUUCGGAACACAAUACCCUCGGGAAACUGAGGCUAAUAGUGUAUAUCGUACCACCACUGGAAUGAGUGGUACGCCAAACGCUCCGGCGCCGAAGGAUGUGGCUGCGGCCGAUUAGGUAGACGGUGGGGUAACGGCCCACCGUGCCAAUAAUCGGUAUGGGUCAUGAGAGUGAGAACCCAGAGACGGAAUCUGAGACAAGAUUCCGGGCCCUACGGGGCGCAGCAGGCGCGAAACCUUUACACUGCACGACAGUGCGAUAGGGGGAUCCCAAGUGCACAGGCAUAGCGCCUGUGCUUUUCGGCACCCUAAGGCGGUGCCAGAAUAAGGGCUGGGCAAGACCGGUGCCAGCCGCCGCGGUAAUACCGGCAGCCCAAGUGAUGGCCGAUCUUAUUGGGCCUAAAGCGUCCGUAGCUGGCCGCGCAAGUCCAUCGGGAAAUCCACCUGCUCAACAGGUGGGCGCCCGGUAGAAACUGCGUGGCUUGGGACCGGAAGGCGCGACGGGUACGUCCGGGGUAGGAGUGAAAUCCCGUAAUCCUGGACGGACCGCCGAUGGCGAAAGCACGUCGCGAGAACGGAUCCGACAGUGAGGGACGAAAGCCAGGGUCUCGAACCGGAUUAGAU